rnacentral:rRNA from 1 species
UACGUAGGGUGCGAGCGUUAAUCGGAAUUACUGGGCGUAAAGCGUGCGCAGGCGGUGAUGUAAGACAGAUGUGAAAUCCCCGGGCUCCAACCUGGGAACUGCAUUUGUGACUGCAUCGCUGGAGUGCGGCAGAGGGGGAUGGAAUUCCGCGUGUAGCAGUGAAAUGCGUAGAUAUGCGGAGGAACACCGAUGGCGAAGGCAAUCCCCUGGGCCUGCACUGACGCUCAUGCACGAAAGCGUGGGGAGCAAACAGG